UAUAUAUAUCUAUAUAAAUGAGUAUAUGAGCGAAGCGAGAGCGACUAGAGUGAACUUCAGGAAUAGGGCUUGUUGAUGUAGUUGCUUGUAGUUUUUUUUGUUCUAUCCAUCGGUUGGUGUUCAGUCUAUCAAAAGAUCCAAAUGUCCGUAAUUGAACAGGAAAACAAGGGGAGUUGGGACUGAUCGACGGCCAAUGGGAAGAGGGGAGUGGACAAUCUAUAAGAAAAUGAACCAAAAAAAAGAAAGUCAUUGAAUUUCCCUCCUGCAGAAACACUCCGUCACUAUAGACUGAACUCGUUGUGAACCCUUUCGAUUAUUAGUAGCGGCUCGUGAAGUAGCCCUCUUUCUUUACAAAAAAGUGGAUACAUGCCCCUUUACUAAUAGAAUAGAAAGUAAGGUAGUCAAGCCCUAUCUAAGUAAAGCUACGACUCCUUGGUGGGAAUGAAAAG
rnacentral:lncRNA from 1 species